CCAGCCUGCUCCCCUGAAAUGCAUUUGUGAUCGUGUUGCCCUUGUGAGUUGGCCCGACCAGGCGUGAUAGUAAUAACGUUCGCCUGGGAUCCUCUGGUUAAUACCUAGGAGCCGCUCCUGUUGGGUGCUUUUCCGAUCAUAUACACUUAUACAUCUUUGGUUUAGACCUCAGAUCAGGCAGGACUACCCGCUGAACUUAA
rnacentral:misc_RNA from 1 species